rnacentral:lncRNA from 1 species
UAAUGCUAGCACUAACCUUCCCACAGGUCAGAACACUGGGGAAAGCAGUGACCCUCAAUUGCUUGGACCUCCUAAUGCACUGGUUCUUGAGGUUGCCCUAUCCAGGCUAGACUGUCUCAGACCGUUAUAGUGGUAGACACUUAAAGGGGCAGCAAAAUUUGACAGGUCAAAAUUAGUUUCAAGCUGUAGAAACUGAGAAACCAGAAUCUAGGGAUCCCAGAGCUGCAGUGGAGUAAAAGUACGAAAGGGUCGAGGGCUACUGCUCAGACUCAGAGUUCUGUGAUUCGCCAGGAAGGGCACAGCACGUAGGUGUACCAUGAACCAGGGAAGCCUAGAAUUGGCUCUUUUUACAUUAAUUCCAUUCUAGUUUUUAAUUACACGCCACAGCCAGAAGAGACAGAUGAAGCUCCCUCUUAAGAUAUUUGUCACCAUGGAGCAUGGCUCUGAUCCCACCACUUCCCUGCUCUGGACUCCCCAGGACUUUUGGAUAAAGCAGCAGCAUCCGUGUCUCUCUUCCUAUGCCCCAGGAAAUUGGACUGGUGAUGAACACUUGAUCUAUGGACAAGCAAUCUUGAAGCUAAUCAGUAAACUAUGGUCUAUUUUCUAAAUAAAAAAUGAGAUAAACCGAUCAGAUUCUCCUUCAGAAUUUGGAAUUGAGAAGUGUGAGGCUGAGAUGUUGUUUGGAAGGCAAAAAGAUGCUGUGUGAGAGCAUCAGAAUGCAUAAAAAAUGUAGAGUGGAGUCAUGUAUUGGAGGCUGGUCCCCAAAGGCAGCUCAUGUUACAGGCAGUCAAAUUUACCUUUGAAAAUCCCUCACAAAGGUGCCACUCUGGGGACAGCAUACUGUUUCUUGGUAAAACACUGUAUGAUUUUUCCAUGGCUUUGGAACAGAUUGUUGCUUCUUUGGUAGAGCACCAGAUGAAGUAGUUGGCUUGCAUUUAGAGGCCAUGUUUUGCUGAAAAUAUAUAUCUUUAAAUACUAGAAUUACACUUGGUGCAGUGAAAUGAUCACACUAUGCGAGACACCUGGAAGCUGAAACCAACUGAGAGAACAUCAGUUUCAGGACACCCAGCUUAUACUCACUCUGCGGAGUUGUGUGAAGCCCUGAGAGGUGAAUAUGCAUAACAUAAAUCCUCGCAUAGUUUGGCUGCAGGGUAGAGAAUAGGGGAGGAAUCCAGUAGAGGGAGAAAAUGGAGGAGUCACCAGAGAGGAGAGUUAUCCUGAGGUAGAGGCUGUGAAGCCCCUGAGGGGGAGACGGGACAGCAGGCAGCCCCUCAAGCUGGCUUGGAUUUGGCACAGUCCAUUCUUCUGCUCCAGUCCAUGCCUAUCCUUCCAGUCAACUCCUUUCCUCAAGAUAAGCUGAUUGGGUCUCUGUUCAUUACAGCUGAAAUUAUCGAGGUGAGUCAGUGAAAUGGUAAAGACACUGAUUCUUGAUUUCUUCUGAAGUUUAAUGAAAAAGCUUCUGGGUGGUGAGUAGAAGAACAUCUAUGGAAAUGUUUUCCACUAUAUGUUUUCCAGAGAAAUAAUGCAUUGACAUUUCUGGAGCUAGUAUGUUAGCAAAGAGAGCAGAAGGCAACACAUAAAGAGAACACACAAUAGGUGUUUGGACAAAGCAGUGUCAUUUGCCCUUUUUUUUGUACAUAGAAUAUCUAGCGUUUUUUAUAGGCACUCAAAGUUACUUAUAAAGGUAGUUCAGACCAAUUUCAGCAUUUUCAACCACAGAUCAAUCAUAUUUGUGCCCCCUCUUGUGUAUCAUAGCAGAACAACUUUUGCUACAAAAUAAAAUACUUCUAUUAUUUUUUUUCUUUUCUAUG